GACGUAGGGUGCAAGCGUUAAUCGGAAUUACUGGGCGUAGAGCGUGCGCAGGCGGCUAUGCAAGACAGAUGUGAAAUCCCCGGGCUCAACCUGGGAACUGCAUUUGUGACUGCAUGGCUAGAGUACGGUAGAGGGGGAUGGAAUUCCGCGUGUAGCAGUGAAAUGCGUAGAUAUGCGGAGGAACACCGAUGGCGAAGGCAAUCCCCUGGACCUGUACUGACGCUCAUGCACGAAAGCGUGGGGAGCAAACAGG
rnacentral:rRNA from 1 species